ACACGUCUACAUUUAGAUUACCCGCGUAGUCCCAGCCGUAAACUAUGCUCGCUAGGUGUCAGGCAUUGGCGCGACCGUGUCUGGUGCCGCAGGGAAGCCGUGAAGCGAGCCACCUGGGAAGUACGGCCGCAAGGCUGAAACUUAAAGGAAUUAGCGGGGGAGCACCACAACGGGUGGAGCCUGCGGUUUAAUUGGACUCAACGCCGGGAAGCUCACCGGAUAAGACAGCGGAAUGAUUGCCGGGGCUGAAGACUCUGCAUGACUAGCUG
rnacentral:rRNA from 1 species